rnacentral:piRNA from 1 species
GUUUCUACACUUGACCUGAGCUCA